rnacentral:tRNA from 1 species
GGUGGCUCAGUGGUAAAGCAUUUGCCUUGCAUGCAUGAGGCCCUGGGUUCAAUUCCUCAGCACCA